UGGAAUACAAAGAGACAGAACUCAG
rnacentral:piRNA from 1 species